rnacentral:rRNA from 1 species
GACGAACGCUGGCGGCGUGCUUAACACAUGCAAGUCGAACGAAGUGGCAAACGGGUGAGUAAUACGUGGGUAACCUGCCCUCCUUUUUGGGAUAAGCCUUGGAAACGGGGUCUAAUACCGAAUAAAGGGGGAUGGGCUCGCGGCCUAUCAGCUUGUUGGUGGGGUGAUGGCCUACCAAGGCGGUGACGGGUAGCCGGCCUGAGAGGGUGACCGGCCACAUUGGGACUGAGAUACGGCCCAGACUCCUACGGGAGGCAGCAGUGGGGGAUAUUGCACAAUGGGCGGAACCCUGACCGAGCAACGCCGCGGGAGUGAAGAAGGUUUUCGGAUCGUAAAGCUCUGUUGUUAAGGAAGCGGUACUUAACCAGAAAGGGACGGCUAACUACGUGCCAGCCGCCGCGGUAAUAC